CUGCCUAGCGGCGUCAGCACACCAGGUUCUAGUCCUGGUCGGGGCGCCAGAUUCUGCCCCGGUUGCCCCUCUUCCAGUCCAGCUCUCUGCUAUGGCCAGGGAGUGCAGUGGAGGAUGGCCCAAGUGCUUGGGCCCUGCACCCCAUGGGAGACCAGGAUAAGCACCUGGCUCCUGCCAUCGGAUCAGCGCGGUGUGCAGGCAGCAGCACGCCAGCUGUGGCGGCCAUUGGAGGAUGAACCAACUGCAAAAGGAAGACCUUUCUCUCUGUCUCUCUCUCUCUCACUGUCCACUCUGCCUGUCAAAAAAAAAUAGUCCAAAGUCAUAAUUCAUUUAUCAGGCACUCUCUUUUUGUGAGGUACUAUUAAUUAGUUUCUCCAUGUUAACUGAUAAUGGUGAUAUUGGAGAUUAAUUUAUGAGUUAGUCUGGUUAUUGCUGAGUCGCAAGCUUCCUGAGCUACAUUAUAUUGCAUUUCUUUAGUACUGUCAUGUUCUUUUUCCAUUGAGUAUACUUUGGUAAAUUUGGGUUAUGCUGAGUUUCCUGAUUUAGGUUCAUAAAUUAUUAUUUUUUAAAGAUUUAUUUAUUGUACUGAAAGUCACAGUUAUACAGAGACAGGAGAGGCAGAGAGAGAGAGAGAAAGAGAGACAGAGAGAGCGAGAGAGAGAGAGGUCUUCCAUCCACUGCUUCACUCCCCAGAAGGCUGCAACAGCCAGAGCUGAGCUGAUCUGAAGCCAGGAGCCAGGAGCCAGGAGCCUCCUCUGGGCCUCCCACAGGGGUGCAGGGGCCCAAGGAAUUGGGCCAUCUUCUACUGCUUUCCCAUAGGCCCAUAAAUUAUUAACUGGAGUGCUGGAGAUAUUACCUAAGCCCUGAUUUUUUAUUAUUUGUUUAUUACACUUGAGAUAAACCCACUUUACUAUGAAGUUAAAUGAUACUGUGAAGACAUCAUUUCCUACUAUGUGUUUAAGACAUGAUAAACACUUAAGUGGGCCAGUGCCGUGGCUCACUAGGCUAAUCCUCCGGGCUGACACACAGGUUCUAGUCCCGGUCGGAGCGCCGGAUUCUGUCCCGGUUGCCCCUUUUCCAGGCCAGCUCUCUGCUAUGGCCCGGGAGUGCAGUGAAGGAUGGCCCAAGUGCUUGGGCCCUGCACCCCAUGGGAGACCAGGAUAAGCACCUGGCUCCUGCCUUUGGAUCAGCGCGGUGCGCCAGUCACAGUGCACCGGCUGCGGUGGCCAUUGGAAGGUGAACCAAUGGCAAAAGGAAGACCUUUCUCUCUGUCUCUCUCUCUCUCUCACUGUCCACUCUGCCUGUCAAAAAAACAAAAAACAAAAAACAAAACACUUAAGUAAUGACUUAUACGUCUUUUUUUUAUUUAAAAACUACUGACUUUUUCAUUUUAUCUAUUUGAAAGGCAGAAUGAUGAUAGAUAGAUAGAUACAUAGAUAGAUCGCUCUAAACCAUUCAGUUGUCACUUGUUUUUUACUCUAAAAUAAGUCACCGUCUAUAACAUUCCAAAAAUUACAUAAAGCUAAUAGAAAAAUUCCAGUAAUUUAAACUUUUCUUUAAUUCCUUGAAGUGGCUUGAUAUAUGAAUUGUAUUGUUAGUUAUCUCUAUACCUUGAUUUUACUGUCUGUAAGAAGAUGACAAUACCAGGAAGCUCUCUCUACCUCAUACAAUUUUGAAUUAGCCAGCUGAAGGAAUGCAUACAUCAUCCCAUGUCAUGCUUUAUAAAGCAUGAAGUUAGGAUAAUGAGGUGGUGAGAGCAUGAGCUUGGAGGUCAAACCUGUCUGGGUCCCCUGGCUGCCCUGCCAUUUAAUAACUGUGUGCCACUGAACACUGUGUAACUGCUCUGCAUUUCAGAUUCGUCAUCAGGAAAUAUCAUGCUAAUGAAUAACUCCAGAGAUGUCUGUGUGGAUUAGGCCAGACAAUGCAGAUAAAGUCCUUGGCACGGAGUGCAGAGUGGCGCACAAAGUCUCUUUGAAGUACCCUUGUAUCUUGUCCUGUACUCACUCAUCUUUCUUAACUAUGUGAAGUGAUACAACGUCUAGAUGACAAGAUGAAAUGUCAGCAUACAUCUGAGAGCUUAAAAUACACACCUACAUUAUCUUAUGAUCUCUGUAGCACAGGAGUCCAGCAUCUCUUGGCUGGGUCCUCUGCUUCUGAGUCUCUUACUAAAUUGCUGUUGUUCAGAGCUGGAAUCUCCUGCAAGGCUCAGCUGAUGAAGGAUCCACUCCCCAGCUUACUGUAGUGUUGGAGGGUGCAGUUGCUUGCAGAUUGCUGAAUCGAAGGCCCAAUUCCAUCAUCAGCUAUUGCCAGAGUCUUUCCUCAUUCUUUUGUUACAUUACUUUGUAUCCUAUUGAGUAAAUGAAUACAGUAAAUUCUACCUGCACUAAUAAAUAGAGGAUUACACAAGGAAUCCAGAAGGUUGGAGGAUGCCUGCAGAUUAUUGGAGACACUCAGCCACAAAUCGCAAUCCAUGGAAUAACUGGAAAUUUCACACAAUGCUUGUGGAAAGUAAAAUAGUAUUAUCACUUUGUAAAAGACAUUUUGGCAGUUCCUUAUGAUUUUAAAUGUAUACCUACCAUAUAACUCAACAGACAUCAUUUUCUUGGCAUUUUCAUAGAAGAAAUAAAGGCACAAGUGCUGCUGCAAGAAAUUUUACAGUAGUUGUACGUACAAUAGACACAACUUGGAAACAACCCAAGCAGCCAUGGAUGUACAGAAGACGAAACAGUCUGUAGCAUGCUCACACUCAACAAAAAAUGCAAUGAACAACUGGUCUAUACAAGAUGAAUGAUGAAAAGAUUCUGAGUGAACUGGAAACUACAUUUUCACUCCCUUGACACUGGGAGGGAUUCUCCGACUGUCUUGAUGACGACAACAUGACACGAGGGGAUACUGGGUUAUUCCAAGGCCGAUAGAAGAGGAGAUGAUGCUUCUGCCUGCAUGUCUUUUUCACGUUACAUGAGUUUGCAAGUGAACCGUCAUGUCCUGAGCGAGCCGGGUCCACACAGACGCAAAGUUCAGGGAUUUUGCCUCAGAUUCAGAUCAAACUUCUCAGCCCAGCCAACAGUCAUGAUCAACAGCCAGCAGUUUUUACAAUGACAUACUUUAUUUCAUAAUCACAAGCUUGAUCUUCCACUGAAUAAACAAACAAAUAGUAAGUAUAAAAAUCAUUGUUGUUCAAGAGUAUAGACAAGGAUUGUAAACAACAGUCAAAUCUCAAAAUGUCAAUUUUACUCAUAUAAAUUAUAUUUUUGUGUUCUGUAUAUUAAUUACCACAAGUAAAGGAAACAUAUGAUAUCUGUAUUUUUGGGACUGGCUUAUUUCAGUAAGCAUAAUCGUUCCAAGUUGCAUACAUUUUGUUGCAAAAUACAGGAUUUAACUCUUUUUAAUGGCUGAGUAGUAUUCCAUGGUGUAUAUAUAUCCCAUUUUCUUUAUCCAGUCAUUGGUUGAUGGUCAACUGGGUAGAUUGCAUAUCUUAGCUCUUGUGAAUUGAGCUGCAAUAAACAUGAAGGUACAAAUAACUCUUUCAUAUGCUGAUUUAAUUUCAUUUGGGUAAAUUCCCAGGAAUUCAUGGCUGGGUAACAUGGUAGGUCUAUUUUCAGAUUUCUGAGGAUGUCUUCCAUAUUGGUACUACUGUAAUAGAGGGCAGCAUAUGUGCGAUAGUUGAACAUCAAAUUUGACUUUAAUUCAGCUGCCAGCCAAAUGAAUAGGAUAUAUUUACUUAGGUCAACAAUGGUUUUACAAAACCAAGUAUAUACAAGUUCAGUGUCAAUGUCUCACUGUAUACACAUAUUAAUGUAUCUUGAUGUCAGGUGUCCAUUUUGGAGUCAACAUGAGGGUUUAAGGAAUGUCAGAGAUUCCUUCUCAGCUUUUUGGCUAAGAUCAAGUGUGGGAAUAUCACAAAUGCAGAUGAUGGGGUUCCAAGUACAAGACAAUGGGUCAGAAAAGCCUAAAUGAUGUAUGCAGAGAAAAGAUAAGCUAAAAAAGGAGAACUAGGAUUGACCUGAAAUACCUGUUUGUGGUAACUGUUGGUAAGUGCUAUAAACUGAUCAGUGUAUUAUAAAGUGUCAGUGAUAUAUAUAUAUAUAUAUAGUAAAAAUUGUGUGAAUGUCAUACUAUUUGGUAUAGAUAUAUAAAAAUGUCUACACUGAAUUGUACCCCUUAACCAAAAAACUUUCUCUCCCAAGUUUUAUGAUUUUUUUCAUGAAUUCCACAUUAUGUAAUAUUAAUAUACCUAUCUCUUUGAAAAAUAAUAUGCAUGUAUGCAUAUGGUUACAUAUGAAGCAAAUAUAGCAACAUGCUAAAAAUUGUUAUAUCUAUGAAUGCUCAUGGAAUCUUUCUUUGUACUUUUCUAUAUUAUUUGUGAUAUUUAAAAAUAAAAAAUUUAAAAGAAAGGUUAGUCUUUCUAAGGAAUAAAAGAAAACUGAGGCAUAACAUCUUUAAUAAUGUUCUUCCUCUGUGUCACUUUUUUAUAUAUUAGUUUUAUAGAUUAGAUGCUUCUUUUCAAUAAUUGAGUACAACAGUGAUUAUUAUCAUCUUAUUUUACUGGGAAUAACAGAGUAUUUGUGGCUUCUGUGACAUAGCUACUGUCACACCUGAGAAAGUCACAGAUUAAUGUUCAGGACAGUGGUUCAUGUUCUAUAUCCAUUCCUUCUUCUUUUACCCUCUUUGCUAUUCUUAUCUUCUCAUGCCUUGGCAACUCAUGACAAGAGCCUAGGGUGAUUACUGAUGCCAUAAACAGGAGUGUCAAUUUGUUAAGUCAACAACAGGAGUCACUGUGCACUUACUCCUCAUGUAGGAUCUCUGUCCUUAAUGUGUGGUACAGUGUGAUUUAAUGCUACAACUAGUACUCAAACAGUAUUUUUCACUUUGUGUUUCUAUGUGGGUGCAAACUGUUGAAAUCUUUACUUAAUAUAUGCUAAACUGAUCUUCUGUAUAUAAAGAGAAUUGAAAGUGAAUCUUGAUGUGAAUGGAAGGGGAGAGGGGAAG